rnacentral:sRNA from 12 species
CUGGGUCAAACGGAGUAACCGGAAGGUGAAAGACGACCUUAGCAAAAGGAGAAGUACUUCCCUGGUCCACGAGGCCAAAAACUGCCCUUUGAUGCUCAAGCACGGACGCUGCUUGCAUGGCGGGAGGAUGUGCCUAUUCCCGUUUCAUGUGCUUGAGCAACGCAGAUUAGACGGCACCCUACAACCCAUCUGUACGAAGGAGCGAAUACUUUUUAUGACCAGC